AGCUCCAAUAGCGUAUAUUAAAGUUGUUGCAGUUAAAAAGCUCGUAGUCGGAUUUCGGGUCGGGCCGAGCGGUCUGCCGAUGGGUAUGCACUGUUUGGCGCGGCCUUCUUUCCGGAGACCGCGGCUACUCUCAACUGAGCGGGCGUGGGAGACGGAUCGUUUACUUUGAAAAAAUCAGAGUGUUUCAAGCAGGCAGCUCGCUCUUGCUGUCUUGCAUGGAUUAGCGGAUAAUUGAUUAGGACUCUGGUGCUAUUUUGUUGGUUUCGAACACCGGAGUAAUGAUUAACAGGGACAGUCAGGGGCACUCGUAUUCCGUCGAGAGAGGUGAAAUUCUCAGACCAAUGGAAGACGAACCACUGCGAAAGCAUUUGCCAGGGAUGUUUUCA
rnacentral:rRNA from 1 species